UACAGAGGUCUCAAGCGUUGUUCGGAUUCAUUGGGCGUAAAGGGUGCGUAGGCGGCGCGGUAAGUCGGGUGUGAAAUCUCGGAGCUUAACUCCGAAACUGCAUUCGAUACUGCCGUGCUUGAGGACUGGAGAGGAGACUGGAAUUUACGGUGUAGCGGUGAAAUGCGUAGAUAUCGUAAGGAAGACCAGUGGCGAAGGCGGGUCUCUGGACAGUUCCUGACGCUGAGGCACGAGGCCAGGGGAGCAAACGGG
rnacentral:rRNA from 1 species